UGCUGCUUGAUAUCAAGCUGGCAGAGCUGAAUAUCUGAGUUGGAACCAGUGAUCACGUUUUUACAACAUCCAACAAAAGAUUUUUUGACAUUCAAAUUUAUACCAUCAUCAGUGUUUACGGAAAAAAAUGGAAUACAAAUAGAACAUGCAAUAGCAAGAAAUUAUAAGAUACGAAAUUUGCACGUAACACUACAAUUACCAGUGAGAAUUCUACAAAUAUAAAUUUUUUUGAGAACACAAAGUAACCAGGCAGGCAAAUUCGGACUACUAAUUCAGGGUAUAACAAGUUUCAUUGAUCCAAGUUCUCAAAAAAUUCCAAAUCGGACAAAACGAGUAAAUGACUAAUAUCCUCCCCCCAGUAUGGACAUAAAGCACGUACGUUAAUAAUUGUUCUCGGCGAGUCCAGGGCGUUAUAAUCAGUGCUGAUCCCUGGACAACGCUUCGACUGAUAGAAUGGAUAUAGACUUAUAGAGUAUUGUUGCACUAUGCUACUGAUACUGUGCAUAGAGCAGUGAAGCUUGUAAUGAGAUUAGGACAAUCCCUACAUAUGUGCAGGGUACAACUGCCAUAGAGAUAUUUGAAACCGCGAUAUGUUGAGACACUGCU